AGUGAACGCUGGCGGUAGGCCUAACACAUGCAAGUCGAGCGGCAGAACAGUGAGAGCUUGCUCUUACGGGUGCCGAGUGGCGGGCAGGUGCGAAGUACCUCGGAGUCUACUUUUUCGAGGGUGCGGACGUGGGGGCACAUACGGUAAUACCCCAGACGGCCUACGUGUGGAAGCAUCGGAUCUUACGCCCUUACACGAGUGAAUGAGCCAAGGUCGGAUUAGCUAGUUGGCGGGGUAAAGGCCCACCAAGGCGACGAUCCGUAGCUGGUCUGAGAGGAUGAUCAGCCACACUGGAACUGAGACACGGUCCAGACUCCUACGGGAGGCAGCAGUGGGGAAUAUUGGACAAUGGGCGCAAGCCUGAUCCAGCCAUACCGCGUGGGUGAAGAAGGUCUUCGGGUUGUAAAGCACUUUUGGUUGGAAAGAAAAGCAGCAGGUUAAUACCUUGCUGUUUUGACGUUACCAAAAGAAUAAGCACCGGCUAACUUCGUG
rnacentral:rRNA from 1 species